ACUGCUGUGCAACAAUAAGUCUCUUUUUACCAAUUAGGGAAAACAUGGUGGUGAAGCUACUGUGAAGGCUGUAAGGUUGAUUGCAGAUCAUGUGAAAGCUAAUAAUUGCCAGUUGCAUCCUGAUUUUGUUGAGGUUUUCUUGUCCUUGUCGUUUGAUGAUGAUCUUGGGAGGCCUGAAAAACCAAAUGAGGAUAAUAAUAGAGUGAAAAACAAGAAAAAUAGAAAAAGAAAGAAUCUUGAGGAGCCAAGUCAAUUGCAAGAAAGUGACAAAAAGAAAAGUAGGAAACAGUUGAUGACAAAGAUGAGAGGGGAGGUUACUGCUGAUUAUAAGGCAGUUUCUUUUACCCCAGAUGUGAUGGAGCGGAGAAGGAUGCAAUCAGAGACUUUCUGCUGUAUUUGAGACACAUUUUCGCAUUUUGAAACAUUCCAUUCAGCAAACGGUUGCCAGCCAUGGAGAAAAUGGCAAUCCAGUUUCUGGUGAAUCUGGGUCCCACCCGCUGCUCGCACCAUGUCUGAAAGGAUUAGGAAAAUUCUCGCAUCAAAUUGACUUAGACUUCAUGGGCGAUCUUAUGAAUUAUCUAAAAAAAGCUUGCUUCUGGUGGUAGCAACCCUGGCAAUUGUCAGAAAAAUUUUAAUUGCUUUACAGUAUCUGAGGGCCUCCAAUGCUGCAUCGUUGCCUUUAAAGUGAUGAAGAGCAAUCUCGACGCCUUGAAUGUUGAUUUACAGGACUUUUUUGUUCAGCUUUACAAUCUUAUACUUGAUUACAAGCCUGGAAGGUUAGUAGCAAUCAUGCCAACUCCAUAGUGUUGCUUUGGAUGCACAUACUCUAUACUGCUUGCUUUAAGAAAAUGUUCUCUUUUUAAAUAAAAACUUAAAUGCUUAGCUGCGAAAGCUUUGUGAUAUGAU